GCGAUCAUUCCAGCAUUAAUGCAACAGAUCUCAUCAGAACACCAAAGUUAAGCGUGCUUGGGCGAGAGAAGUACUAGGAUGGGUGACCCCUUGGGAAGUCCUCUUGUUGCACCUU
rnacentral:rRNA from 1 species